CCUACGGGUGGCUGCAGUCGAGAAUCUUCGGCAAUGAGCGCAAGCUUGACCGAGCGACGCCGCGUGCGGGAUGAAGGCCUUCGGGUUGUAAACCGCUUUGGUCCGAGAGAAAGGGCAACUUGAUCGAUCGGAGAAACAAGGACGGGCUAAGUUCGUGCCAGCAGCCGCGGUAAGACGAACCGUCCAAACGUUAUUCGGAAUCACUGGGCUUAAAGGGCGCGUAGGCGGCCGAGCGGGUCGCGGGUGAAAUCCUCCAGCUUAACUGGAGAACUGCCCUCGAUACCACUGCGGCUCGAGGAAGGAAGGGGUCAUGGGAACUGUCGGUGGAGCGGUGAAAUGCGUUGAUAUCGACAGGAACGCCUGUGGCGAAAGCGCAUGACUGGUCCUUUUCUGACGCUGAGGCGCGAAAGCCAGGGGAGCAAACGGGAUUAGAUACCCCAGUAGUC
rnacentral:rRNA from 1 species